rnacentral:lncRNA from 1 species
CCAGCAGCUACAGCUCUGAUUAGACCCCUAGACUGGGAACCUCCAUAUGCCACAGAUAUGGCCCUAGAAAAGACAGAAACAAACAAAAACAAAUCGUGUCUCAGAGUGUCAUUGUGACUAAAAUGGCAUGAAAUUCAGGAACUAGAUUACUUGAUGGCCCAGUGUGGAUGGAAUCUUAUUGCAGACUUGGUCCCUCUAUGCCUUUAGGGCAAUAGGGACAAGGAUCCCUCCAGCCAUCCCUUAACUUCUGCCUUAAGCCAGCCCUUCUGGAGCUUCUGAGGAACACACUUUCUAAGCCACAGUCCUAACUAGGGGCUGGCUUUGGCAGCGGCAGAGAAAAACCUAAGAAUAUAAUUUCUUUUGGUCUUUUUAGGGCCACACCCACAACAUAUGGAAGUUCCCAGGCUAGGGGUUGAAUCGGAGCUGCAGCUGCCAGCCUACACCACAGCCACAGCAAUGUGGGAUCUGAGCCGUCUCUGCCACCUGCCACCUGCACCACAGCUCACGGCAACGCUGGAUCCUUAACACACUGAGGGAAGCCAGGGAUAGAACCUGUACCCUCAUGGAUCCUAGUCGGGUUCAUUACCUCUGAGCCAUGAUGGGACCUCCCAGAGUGUUCUGCAUUGAUGGAAGUUCUGUCCCCAUGCCGAGCAAUAAUAUAGCCAAUUGCCAAAGGUGACUGCAUAUAUAGUCCCUGACACGUAGCUAGUGCAACUGGAGAAUUGAAUUUUUAACUUUUUUUCAGUGAAGUUCACUUUACUUUAAAUGCAGCCAGCCAUUUGGGAGAGCGCAGAUGCCAGUGAGCGGUCCCUCAACCCCUCCUGUCCUGCCUGCAGCUCACAGGCUGCUCAUCUAACCAUCCGACAGUCUUGCAGGGCAGCUGCGGCAUUCGAGUGUGUCUGUCAUGAGCUCAAGAGCCCUUUUAAAAACUGUCUUCUCCAUCAGCCAGCGAGGGCUUGACUUCUGUCUCCUGCCAGGACCCCACUGUUUCCUGAGAAGACCUUGGGUCAGACUGUGCAGAAGUGUGCUCAGGACCCCAGGGCAUCCGAAGG